rnacentral:tRNA from 2 species
GGGCUGGUAGUUAAACCUGGUAUAACGCGCCAUUGGCUGUGGCGAGGCUGCGGGUUCAAAUCCCGCCCAGUCCA